rnacentral:misc_RNA from 1 species
GGCAGUGACAGUUCCAGCAGAGUUUCCAGGCACUAGCUUGAGCUGCAAAUCAAUUUUCCCAAAUAAGUAUUGGUUCUUUGAUUUGAAGCCUGAACCAGAGGUUUUAUCAAGAGACAACGUAAGGAGUUGGCCAUCGCUCAGGAUUUUUGCACGCCCAUCUCCCCAUGUAAUGUCAAAAUCUUGGUUGAAGUUUCCAGCAGAAGCUGCCACUAAUAACACACCCACAAGCAUAAUUAUUCUAAUAGUUGAUUUGAGACUACUUGAGAAAGUCAUGAUUUGGUUGGAGAAAAAAUGGAUAACUUAUGAAGGAGAGAA